rnacentral:rRNA from 1 species
UACGUAGGUGGCAAGCGUUGUCCGGAUUUACUGGGCGUAAAGCGUGCGCAGGCGGUUUGCUAAGACAGGUGUGAAAUCCCCGGGCUUAACCUGGGAACUGCGCUUGUAACUGGCAAGCUUGAGUGUGGCAGAGGGGGGUGGAAUUCCGACGUGUAGCAGUGAAAUGCGUAGAGAUGUGGAGGAACACCGAUGGCGAAGGCAGCCCCCUGGGCUAACACUGACGCUCAUGCACGAAAGCGUGGGGAGC